GGAUAUAUACGUCACGAGUAUUAGUAAAAGUACUCAGCAGACCCCCUAGAGCAGAGUCCUGGAGGGCCGAACAAAACGGGAGAUCGGUCUGAAAUACGGUAGACUCCCGGGAAAAACGGGAGUGUUGGCAGGUUUGUCAUUCAUGGCUCAGUAUUCUGUAAUAUUAGAGUCAUGGCAGUUCUAAGUGCACCUUUAAUCAAUAGAGAAUGGUAAGCAGGCAGGGGUCAAAACCAACAUAGGUUUAUUCUGAAAACGUCCCCCUAUAUACAUUUCAAGAGUUCACACUUAGCUGAUGAUUUACAAAGCUUAUUUGGCAUGCUGUCCCGGGAGAGAGCCCCGAGCUCAAGGGCUCCUCGAGCCCGGGGCUUCCUCCCGUUGGCAGAGCAAGAAGGGAGCCUGAGCUCGGUGGAUCUCAGAACUCCCCUGCCGCU
ensembl:processed_transcript